ensembl:lncRNA
AUGGCUGACUCCAGCAGCAGGAUGAUGACGUCUUCUGAACACCUGGCGGUCGGGCCUGCAGGGAAAGCGUCGUCGUCCUCGGUCGCGUCAGGAAAUGGAAACUGGGACGGUGCAGGUGGGAUGGACCAGAUAACUGUGGUGAGAAUAGAUGACACACACAUUGCCGAGGAGCAGGUGAAAGACGACGCCGCGGAGUACUACGAGGAGGAGUACUCGAUUCCUGAGGAGGACGAGGAGGAGGAGGAGGUUGCGGCAGAGGAAGAGGAAGACGGUGUUUUUGUCAUUGAGUAUUCAAACCCUGAAGAGGAGGGAGAGAGCUACCAGUUCACGAUGUCUGUGGACAGAUCGCUCCCGGCCAAAAAGCCAGAACCGACACCUCCUGUGGUCGGAGUGAACGCCAGAGCUCCCCUACCUGCGAUGUCCAAACCGUCCAGGCCGCAGAGGCCGAGGCACGAGGUGAGGCACGAGGUGAGGCAGAAGAGGAAGCUGAUAACGGAAGAGGAGGUGAAGAAGGAGGAAGUUGUGAGCAAUAAAUCCGUGUUGGAGCUCGGGGAGAACUACAGCGACGUGAUGGAAGUGAAUUCAGGCUCAGGUAAUAGACUGGUGUGCUCGCUGUGCCCGCCGCCCGGCAGGCUCUUCAAGAGAGGCUCAGGUUUGGCGGUGCACCUCAAACAGAUGCACCACAUGGUGGGGAAGAAGACGUUCUUCUGCACGACGUGCCAGCAGUCGGUUCGCACUCAGAUCGAACUGGACUCGCACACGCGACGCCACGCCAACCAGGACGCCGUGUUCACCUGCUACCUCUGCUCGGCCGAGGGAGAAAACAAAACGGAGGCGGAGAAGACGGGGUUCAGCGGGCCGAGGUGGGGUCUGAAGAGACACCUGGAGAAGGAGCAUCCGGGCGUCAUCCCUCGCUGCGACGUCUGCAACAAAGGCUUCAAAUCGCUGGCGUCGUACCUGGCCGAUCAGUUCAGGCACGUCGGCGUGUCGCCCUACUACUGCGCCAGGUGUCAGAUCUACGAGAUGACCGAGAGGGGUCUGAGCAUUCACAUCAAAAACCACGACAAGAAGAAGAAGAAGAAGCAGGAGUCUGGUGAAAACCUCCAGCAGACGUCGGGAGUCUCCGCCGUCGCUGAUAACUCCGCCACAGACGACUCCGACUUCUGACACGUCUCUGAGUGUUUGGAGUUAAAGCGGCUGCGGCUCAGUGACCUCUCUGUCCCACGCUUAUGCAUCUACGACUGAACUGAACUUUAGACACAGUUGUUUGGGUUUUUAUUGACAGGUAUCACAUUAAGGAAACCUUUCUUGUGGUCGACCCACUCAAGCUGUUCGUACGAUGUGGUCGAGUCUUCAGCCUCCAUCAGUGUCGCGUGUAGAGUAAAUCCAGUUGUGGCCUCAGUUGGGAAUUAAAGGAAAAUGACAUUUUUUCACAACCUGGGUCUUGUUUUUGUACGUUUGGCCAUCGUUGGAUGUGUUAAUUUAUUUUCACCAGCUUCAUUUAAAGGAUUCAUUUGACAUUUUUUUAAGGGAGUCUGGGGAAAUUGUGGCUCCUGGUUCUGUAGUAGUUCAGUACACUAGUGCUGAGGCUGGUUUUGGCAGGUUAAAGAGCGCAAACAUAUCAUCAGUUACAGUGAAGCAAAUGGAAAUCAGUGUGUUUCUUGUGUACUUACAGGACAUCAGUGGAGUAGACGGGCCUUCAGAGCGGCCCAGGACACAGAGUACCAUCUGACAGGCAGUUCUUUAGCAGUAUGCUGGAUUAAAGCUCACUAAUUGUCACAAUAUGUCUUGUUUGUUUAAUCCAUAUAAUAACUGUGUAAAAACAACUCAAAAUGUUGAGUUAUUCCUUUUAAGAGAUGUUGGACGCAGGGAGUUUGUGGUCGGUUUGACCAAAGAGCUUCAACAACUAGUCUGAAAAGUGAAGUUAAAGUAUCAAACAUGAAAUAUUACGGAGCACUGCUGUGAACAUUUAUCUUUAAUCUCUUCAGUAAAGUCUUAUAACUGAUAGAAAUAAUCUCAAAAACAAUGGUGCUGUUACUGACACUUAUUUUAUCUGGUUUAUUCAUCAUUGAAAUGUCAGAAAAUAGAGAGAAAUGCCUGUUAAAGUGUCCUGUGAUGUCUGAAAACCCAAAGAUAUUCAGUUUAUAAUGAGAUAAAACGAGCUGUAAUAGAAAUAAGACCCAGGUUGUGUAUCAGUCAACCCCUCAGCCCUCCACAGUGUUGAUGCUGUUUGUUCUUCAUUAGUGUCUGAGUCGGUGCAUGUGUGUGUACAUACUGUAUAUUCUGUAUUACUCAGCAGUUAUUCCAGUUACAGCAGAAGAAAGUGAAUCCGUUUUCAUCCUCAGAGUUCAAACCUGUCCACAGCUCUCCGAGUGGGAUCAGCCUCCAAAAGCAGGUUGUAACAAACAAACAAUAGACGCUAAAGUAACUCAUGUAAAGGAGCAACGCCAGUAUUAUUUCAUGUUUUACUUCAAAUCGUGUUCUUUGCUUUACAGCUGACAUCAAAGCAGGUUUCCAGGUUGAUAAAAAGGUGGGAAAUCAAUCACAGCGAAUUCUUGUUUAUCUCACUUUUUUGUCAAAGUGAAAUGAUAAGAUGAUUUUAUAUAUACACACAAUUCAUUUGGCAUUAAAUUACGCACUGGAUAUCUCAGACCAGAACUAUGGGCACUACUCUGACCUCUGUCAUUUUACACACUUAAAACUCACCAAAACCGUCUCUAUUAGUCUUUCCACUGAAUAAAUCCAACAGAUAAACAGUAUUUUCAGUGGCUCUCCUCAGCAGAUAGUUGUUUGCUGCUAUAUUAAUGUUUUAAAUCUCACAUAUAACCUUUUAACAGUAACGUAGCUGAAAGAGCUGCUGCUGUGGUGCAUUCAUGGUCCUGUGAGAAGCUCUGACAAAUGAGACCUCACAGUCAUCUGGAGUUGGUUUUUUUAAAGGAAAUGAAGCUUUUUAUCAGCAAUUUGUUCACUAAAAACCUGAAAGGAUUCUGAAUUAGUCUGCACACAACGACACCACUUUAAAUGUAAGAAUAAAAACAAUUAUUACCACUAACAAAAAACGUUUCUGGCAGCUGAUUUCAUAGAAAUGAACUGAAACACAUUUUUGCCUUGAAGGAAGUAAAAUAAUAUACAUGUGAUUGGUAGUGAAUGGAUAGAACGAGUAUUAACACAGUAUGAUCCAGGUUGCUGUUUCCCUCUGAAAUAAAGACUGCAUGCAUUUAAAUGUCCUAAUUACACAGGAAAAACAGGCUUUUUAACAGAAACUCUAAAGUACGUUCUUGAGAUUAAAAGUGUUGAAACUUCUGGAGUUUGUUUUUCUUCAGCAGCCGGAGUUUGUUCAGUCGUCCUGAGGAAGUCAAAGUGCACAGAGAAAUCUAAAGUUGACCUUCAAUGACAACUGGGUGAAAUCCAUCUACAGAUCGAAAGCUCCAGAACAGCUACUAAACAAAAUAAAAUGUGAUCCUGAUGUAGAAAAUGUACUCACACAAACAUUAAAUAAUCCUUAAUAAACUAAAUUAAACUACAUUAAAGAUAUUUUUAUAAUCUUUAAAGUCUUUUAUGACGUAACAGCACAAAAAGUUUGAAAAUAAAACUUUUUUCUUUGUUUUUUAACCAAAAAACUAACAGAUGAAUUCAUGAAAGUGAAAAUAAAUGUUCCAACAACCCAGUUUAUUUACAUUAUUUAUACAGUGUAUUAAUGUGGUUAUAAGCAGUGAAAUAAGUAUUCAGUGUUUCACAAGAAAAACACUAAAAUUACAUCAAAGUAGUUUUUUGUUUCUUCUUUUUUAUCCCUUAAAUCAAUCUUAUUUAAAUUUGGACCCCAUUAAUCGGGGCCCUUAACCUCAGAUUUAAAACCACUGAGGUAGCGCCUGUGGACUUCAGUCUCUCUCCCUCAUUGAUUAUGUUUAUCACUGAAAUUAGCAUCAUAAAUGAUAAUCAUGGAACCUGUUUUAGCCCAAAAUAUGGAUUAAAAAACCCACUGAUGAUCUGAAUACUGUAAAUUAUUUAUAUGUUAUUUUAUUAUAUUGAGCUGGUUUGUUUUGCAAUCAAGUUUUUUUUUUAAUUCAACAAUAAGAAUAAAACAUGAAUCAUAAAUAUUCUGCUUUUAGAGGAUGAAACGAGUAUUAAAGGGGCUGAAAUCGUUAAAAUAUCGACUGCGUUUUGGUGCACAAACACUGAGAUGAACUGCAACAGUCUGUUUGUAUUAAACAUUUUAAAGUGAAUAUAUGUUUUUUUAUUCUUUGCUGUAACAUUUGUUGGCAACAUCCUUGUGACUUCUUUAAUUUUCUGACAUUAAAGGGAAUCACCACUGAUUUUGUUUCUUGUACUUUUCUCACUGUGAAACCUGCAAGCAUACCACACUGUAAAAAUACUCUGUUACAAGUAUUAGUGCUGCACUGAAAAUGUUACUGAAUCUUCAUAUUUAAGGAAUAAGAAGCAGUUUCAGUCUUUCACAUAAACAUUUACUGUAUGAAGGUUAACAGAUGCAGAGUUUCUUGGGGUUUUUGUGCUUGCUGAUUGUCUUCAGGUGAGAGGAGGCACACACAGGUACAGGGAGUUAUUGAUGAGAUCCACUGCAGAAGGUAAAACCACUAAAGACCUG